UACAAAGUUCAAAGUUACUGGAAAAAAGAAGCAACAAAAAGUAGCAUGAAAAUCUACAAAAAUGAAACAUAACAUCUCCUUCCCCUCCAUAUAAAUACGCCGUGCAUCUCAGCUGCGGCGGGAAACGCCGCUCUCCCUUAAUCCGCCGUACUAUGGAACCCUAGAAACCCAAAUUUCAGUUCGAAUUCAGUUCAAAAUCUCUCCUUUUUGGCGAUAUCCGAGAAAAAAGUCAAAUUGAUUUGAUUUUGUUUAUCUUUUUCCUCAAUUUUAUGGCGUUUCCGUUCACUGAUUCAACUGUCUCACCCGAUGAAGAUACGAAAUCUAAGACGCCGUUGGAAGAGGAGGAACGAAAUCAGCAGGUUGAUGAAGAGGAUGACAAUCGAGGUAGAGUUACUCCGUUGAGGUAUGUCCCAUUGUGCGAUGUGUACUCCGCCACUUCCCCUUACGUGGGCGCUAGUGGGUCGAAAAAAGUUAAAGCCGCUCGCAAAAUCCUUCCACAUUUGGAGACCGACGAUCGCCUCAAGCAUUCGCAAACACAGUACAUUUCUUCGAUGUCCGCAAGGGAACUCCCUCUUACUCACUUCUACACUCGCCGCCGCAAAAGGAAACGACAUGAACCCUCCUUUUACGACUCGUUAAUCUCUCGAUCGCUGAAAUUAGCUAAUUGCAACGGUGACAGAGAAAAUGGUGUGGAUGACAGAGAAGGAGAGGAAGUAGGUGUAAAAUUUAAGGAGAAUCAGAAGAGGAAGGAGCGUUAUUCAAAGCUAUUUUCUCCGCAGAUGAAAUUAGCAAAUUUCUCCAAUGGAAAUAGAGAAGACGAGGGCAAAGAUGAUGAAAUGGUUAUAAAGAAGAAGCUGAAGCGAGAAGUGGGUUGUUCAAAUCCAGUUCCUCACCCGAAAAAAAUAGCGGAUAUCUCCGAUGGAAAUAGAGAAGAUGAGAGUGAAGAUAAAGAAAAGCUUAUAAAGCCUAGGGAUAAGCAAAAGAGGAACGUGGGAGAUUUGAAGCUAGUUUCUCACUCUGUAAAAUUACCCAAUUCUUCCAAAGGAAACAUAGUAGCCGAGGGGGAAACUGAGGGCGGAGAAGAGCAAGUGGUUAUAAAGAAUAAGGAGAAGGUGAAGGUGGAAAAUUUAGAAGUAGUGAAUUUGUGUGUCAAGAAUAAGCAGGACGACGUGGGAGAAGAUGAUGGAGUAGUGGUUGUGAAACAUAUUAAGAAGAAGGAGAAGAAGAGGAGUAAGGUGGUUGAUUUGGAGCUGGCUAAUUUGGGGGUAGAAGCUAAUGUAAUUAGUCUGUUGAAUCAGUCUUGUUUGAGAGAAACUCGAAAUAGUGCUGGUAAAAAUAAAAUCACCAAUCACAGUGGUAACAAUUGCAAAGAUUUUAACUCAAUGGGUAACAUGAAGGAACAAAAAGAAAAUUGUAUUUUGGAGAAUAGCUUGAAUAGCAAAAGAGUAGGGGCAAUUCGGACCAAGAAAUGGGUUUGGCUGAGUUUUGAAGGAGUUGAUCCCAAGAAAUUUAUUGGACUACGAUGUAAGGUGCAUUGGCCAUUAGAUGCUCUUUGGUACACUGGUUGCAUAACUGGGUACAACUCACAGACUGAACGACAUCAUGUGAAUUAUCUAGAUGGGGAUGAUGAAGAUUUGCUUUUAUCAAAUGAAAGGAUCAAGUUUUUUGUUUCACUUGAGGAAAUGAAUCGUUUGAAGUUGAGACCCAGCGAUACGAGUCCUGAAACUGAUGGAAUCGACGUUGAUGAGAUGAUUGUAUUAGCUGCUAGUUUGGCUGAUUGUGAAGCACUUGAGCCCGGAGAUAUUAUAUGGGCCAAGCUGACUGGUCAUGCCAUGUGGCCUGCCAUUGUUCUAGAUGAAUCUCGUGCUGGUGGGUGUAAAGGUCUUAACAAAGUUUCAGGGGAAAAAUCAGUUCUUGUGCAGUUUUUUGGCACCCAUGAUUUUGCUAGGGUCAAGUUAAAGCAAGUUAUCUCUUUCUUAAGAGGGCUUCUUUCUUCCUUUCACCUCAAGUGCAAAAAACCAAAAUUUGUUCAAAGUUUGGAGGAAGCAAAAAUGUAUCUCUCUGAACAAAAGCUCUCAAAGAGGAUGCUGCGGUUGCAGAAUCGUAUCAAUGCAGAUAAUAAUACUGAAAACGAAGAAAAUGAAGGCAGUUCUGAUUCAGAGGAUGAGGGGUUGAGGAGAAAGCUUGAAGAAGUCAGAAGUUGCCCAUUUGAAUUGGGGGACUUGAAAAUAGUUAGCCUUGGAAAAAUAGUAGAAGAUUCAGAGCUCUUUCAAGAUGAGGAAUUUAUCUGGCCAGAAGGUUAUACUGCUGUUAGGAAGUUGCCAUCAGUAACAGAUCCCGGUGUACGUGUCUCAUAUAAGAUGGAGGUACUGAGAGAUCCUGAUUUCAGGACACGGCCAUUAUUUAGAGUUACAUCGGAUAGUCGAGAACAGUUUAAGGGAUCCUCACCAUCUGCUUGCUGGAAUAAAGUUUACAAACGGAUGAGGAAGACACAAGUUGACAAUUUUGAUGAAUCAAUAUCUAGCCGUGAAAGUGAAAGGACCUUUGGAUCGGGUUCUCAUAUGUUUGGCUUUUCUCAUCCUGAAAUUUCGAAACUUAUAAAGGAAUUAUCAAAGUCGAGGCUUCUUGCGAAAUCCUUGAAAUUGGCGUCUGAGAAAAAUCAAGACCUGCCUGCUGGGUAUAGAUCUGUCCGUGUUAAAUGGAAAGAUCUGGACAAAUGCAACGUUUGCCAUAUGGAUGAGGAGUAUGAGAAUAAUUUGUUUUUGCAGUGUGACAAAUGCCGAAUGAUGGUUCACGCUAGAUGCUAUGGGGAGCGGGAGCCUAUGGAUGGAGUACUUUGGUUAUGCAAUUUGUGUCGUCCAGGGGCUCCAGUGGUCCCUCCCCCUUGUUGCCUGUGCCCUGUUAUUGGUGGUGCUAUGAAGCCUACAACUGAUGGACGUUGGGCUCAUCUUGCUUGUGCCAUUUGGAUACCAGAAACUUGCUUAUCCGAUAUAAAGAAAAUGGAGCCAAUUGAUGGUUUGGGCAGGAUCAGCAAGGAUCGCUGGAAGCUCUUAUGUAGUAUCUGUGCUGUUCCUUAUGGAGCUUGCAUUCAGUGCUCAAACCCUGCCUGUCGGGUGGCUUAUCAUCCUCUUUGUGCACGCGCUGCUGGCUUCUGUGUUGAGCUUGAGGAUGAAGACAGAUUGCAUUUAAUCCCUAUGGAUGACGAUGAAGAGGAUCAGUGCAUUCGGUUGCUUUCUUUCUGCAAGAAGCACAGAGCGGUGUCUAAUGAGCGUCCUGCUGUUGAUGAGUGUGUCGGACAAAAAGCUUGUGAAUAUUCAGACUAUGCUCCUCCACCAAAUCCUUCUGGAUGUGCUCGCAGUGAGCCUUACAAUUAUUUUGGAAGAAGAGGAAGAAAAGAACCUGAAGUCCUUACAGCUGCAUCAUUGAAGCGCUUGUAUGUAGAAAAUAGGCCAUAUUUGGUUUGUGGCCAUAGUCAACAUGAUCAAUCAAGCGAUACAGUGUCUUCCUCAUGGGCUGGUUCUAGACACACCCUUGACCUUCAAAAGCUGAGGUGUUCACAGCUUACUUCAAGGAGCAUUAUUUCAAUGGUUGAGAAAUACAACCAUAUGAAAGAAACAUUAGGAAAGCGACUAGCCUUUGGGAAAUCUGGAAUACAUGGGUUUGGCAUCUUCGCGAAGCUCCCUCAGAAAGCGGGAGACAUGGUAAUUGAAUACACCGGAGAACUUGUUAGACCUCCUAUUGCCGACCGAAGGGAGCAUCUAAUUUACAACUCACUAGUGGGUGCUGGAACAUACAUGUUCCGAAUUGAUGAUCAGCGUGUUAUAGAUGCCACAAGGGCUGGAAGCAUUGCACAUCUGAUUAACCAUUCGUGUGAACCAAAUUGCUACUCAAGGGUUAUAAGUGUCAACAGCAAUGACCAUAUAAUCAUAUUUGCCAAACGAGAUAUUAAGCAAUGGGAAGAACUGACAUAUGAUUACAGAUUCUUCUCUAUCGAUGAACAGCUUGCGUGUUAUUGUGGGUUCCCAAGAUGCCGAGGUGUAGUAAAUGAAACUGAAGCUGAGGAACGAAUGGCAAAGUUGUAUGCACCACGCAAUGAGUUAAUAGACUGGGAGGGAGAAUAACAGAGAAGUCUUUUCAUCGAAGUGAGGUGCCUUUGGUUGAUUGCUCACUCUCGUUGCUUGCCUACUUCUACCUGGUUCAGAUGUCCUAUUGCUUCAGGACUUGAGUAAAGGCCUCCCUAUAGAGGGGAAAGACUGGUUGAAGGAAAUGCAUUUUCUUUAGCUCAUAGUUCCUUGAAUUAUCGCCUCUCCCCCUCAGAGAUAUGUAAUUCUGACGGGAAGCUAGAAGAUGCAGCCUCAAGAACAUCCAUGUUUAAAGCUAUAGGGUGAAUCUGAACCAAAUGACUGUAGCCUGGGUGCCUCAGAUCUGUUCAUAUGCUCAGUUUGCAUGGCGACUCGAAGAACGCUAAGAGGAAAUAUGAAGAAUUUGCUUGUGGAGUUAACAUCAUUCAGGUGUUUCAGGAUAGCAUACAAUUUGUAUUCCAUCAAUUUGACAGUGUUGAUUCUGUAAGUAGAUUACACACAAAUGUAAUUUAUGGAAGUGUGUAUUAGUGUCCCACAUUGGGAGACGUACUGUGUGUAUCUAAAAGGAUUCAAGCAUAACACAUUGUCUUUAUUUCUUACUCUCAAUUAAAGUAUCAGUGGAUCAUGUUUAUGUAAAAAUCAAUUUCAUAUUCAAAAUGAUGAUUUGAAUCAA